AGAGUUUGAUCCUGGCUCAGGAUGAACGCUAGCUACAGGCUUAACACAUGCAAGUCGAGGGGCAGCAUGGUCUUAGCUUGCUAAGGCCGAUGGCGACCGGCGCACGGGUGAGUAACACGUAUCCAACCUGCCGUCUACUCUUGGACAGCCUUCUGAAAGGAAGAUUAAUACAAGAUGGCAUCAUGAGUCCACAUGUUCACAUGAUUAAAGGUAUUCCGGUAGACGAUGGGGAUGCGUUCCAUUAGAUAGUAGGCGGGGUAACGGCCCACCUAGUCUUCGAUGGAUAGGGGUUCUGAGAGGAAGGUCCCCCACAUUGGAACUGAGACACGGUCCAAACUCCUACGGGAGGCAGCAGUGAGGAAUAUUGGUCAAUGGACGAGAGCCUGAACCAGCCAAGUAGCGUGAAGGAUGACUGCCCUAUGGGUUGUAAACUUCUUUUAUAAAGGAAUAAAGUCGGGUAUGCAUACCCGUUUGCAUGUACUUUAUGAAUAAGGAUCGGCUAACUCCGUGCCAGCAGCCGCGGUAAUACGGAGGAUCCGAGCGUUAUCCGGAUU
rnacentral:rRNA from 1 species